AUGUCCCUGCAAAAGGGGUUUGCAUUAUGUAUGUUCUUGUUGUACAUUAAUGAGAAUAGCAAGAACAGCAGAGGAAUCGAUGGCAAAAAUAAGGAGCGACAUUCUUCUUAUUUCAAAGAAAGGCAUCAAGUAGAUUCAUGUAGAAUGACUGUGGGAAGAUUAUCUUUUGAGAGCCGCUCCUCUCCACUCCCUGGCCAGAGAAAUCCCCA